GGCUCAGAUGAAGUGGUGCCGGGACCCUCGGUGUUCCCCUUGAGUGAAACUGGGUUGCCUUCGAAGAGGUGUCCGGGCAUCGUGUUCUUAUGAAGAGCGGACCUGGGAAAUCGGGGUCGUUCAGCAUUUGGCACCACCCACGUGGCUAGUCUCGAAUUUCCUCAUGAAACCGGCCUCAUCCUGAGGUGUGCCGCGAAGGUCAUGAAACCCUUCCAGACAAAGCAGAGGAAUCGACCCUCCUGUGGCGAUCAGGAGGGGAGAAGUGGCUCAGAUGAAGUGCUGCUGGGAACCUCGGUGUUUCCCUCAAGUGAGACAGGUAUGUCGGGUAACUUUUGGGGUCGCAUAACGCGUUCCAAGUACCGUUUCGCUCUUCAAAUUGGAACGUGGGACUUCUCUUGGGGUGCUCCAGCGGGCAAGGGCCUCAUCUUGGAAUGACUGGGGAACCACUUGGUUUUUCUCUAGUUGCGGUGGGAUAUUUGAGUUACCACAGGGAAUUCAUGCUUCCUCUUGUGUUGGCCCACAAAAGUCUUAUCUUCCAUUCGAGAUUCGAGGAAGAGCUGGAGGUGCGCUCUAGUCACUGAAGGCAAAAGAGACCCCACCAAGGCUUGUGUGCAGGACCUAAUGUUCAUGUCAAGGGGCGACAGGAAUCUCGGGGUUGCAUUCCAGACUCACCCUGGAGUCAGGCCUCGUCUCGAGGGGAAGCAAAGGACUCUGCUCUCCUCUCGAGUCGGACGGGUAUGUCUUGGAGCCCACUGAGUGGCUUAAAGGGAGUCAAACCUCCUCUGGUGUUUGGAGGGAGGACACGGGAUUGCUCUCCAGGCAAUGCAGGAAAUGAAGGCCCUCAUCUCCCGAUGACUGGGGCGUCUCGUAGGUUUUCUCGAGCUGUGGCGCUAGUG